CUGCUGAAUCUAGAUGUUGAGAGUUUAGACUGUGCUUUUCUUUUCUUUUCUUUUCUUUUCUUUUCUUUUCUUUUCUUUUCUUUUGGUAACUAACUCUGACCUUUUGCCUAACUCUUAUAAUCACUUAAAAUUUAUCUUUUGUAGUCACUAAACUUGUUUUACUGUUUAUCUUUGCCAGUGAGAUCGCCUGAAGUGUGUGGUAAAUCUGCUCAAGUUUACAAAGACUGGUGUACAUCCACUUUCCAUUAAUGAAGUGGUUAACCAACUAAUAAACUUGUAUUGCUCAAGAAAGGGUCUUGAACAGUGCAAGACGGUAUAUUCCUGAUGUACUAGGCUGGGAGCUGGGGAGAUUUGCUCUCAAUGUCAUGGCUAGACUGAAGUCUAGAGAAGACCUCCGAGAUAAUGGACUAUAACUGGUAUGGGUCCUAAUGGCAAGUGUAAUGAAGAUGUGGGGUUAAGGUGACUAGAAGACAAGUCUGUGACAACAUUCCAUGAUCCAUGUAGAACCAAUGCCUGCUUUUCCAAAGUCUUUGAAACUCAUCAGAAAAUUGGAGCUACACUGUAGACCAUCCUAGCACAAGGCAGAGGCACAAAAGCAAGAAGACUCCAAGACUUCACAGGUACCAUUGUAGGGCAUGGUCUCGCAGCUGCUAUUGGCUCUCACAGGGAUGAAGCAGAGAUGGAUGGAUAGAUAGAUAUAGCUGCAUUACACUCAUUUCCCAGAAACACCCCUCCCCCUGCCCGCUCUGAAGAUGAAAACAUAAAAGAAUGUGAAGGUGAAACUUAAAAUGUAUAUGAAUGUUCCUUUCAUCUAAGAGAGGACAACUAACGAACCAGCUGGAACACAGUAUUUUCUUUGCAGGUGUUCCAUCAGCUUUAUAAUGACACAUCUUGGAAUAGGAGAGUCACAGUGGACUCUCUUGCUUAACUGUCGUCAUCACUUACCAUUUGCAGAAUGGAAGGUUUUCUGAUCCUGUGUCCAUGUGCAUGACUCACCAUUAUUCCCUGUAAGCGAGGAAGAGUAUCUCUUAAACAGCAUAGUCUCAUCAUCAAAACCCUGUGCACUAUGUGGCAUGUAAGACCCAAAUGAAGUGGCAAGCUCUGCACCACCACCCUGCUUCCAUUUUAGGGCCAGAGCUGCACAGAAUAUUGCUACUAUGGCAAAUUAAAGAAUUAUGCAGCCAAGUUAAUUGGUUAUGAAAUCACCCAAUAACCAUCAGUUUUGGUGAAAUCACAAAGUGAAAAUCUAGAAUGAAUGUAUUAUAUUUACUUGCAUCCUAGCUGAGGAAUAACACUCCUGUGCAUCUCAGGUGCGGCGCAAGAAAGGAGGCAUUUUGGUUUGUAUGGGCCAGCUGGUGAUAGGCAAGGAGGAUUAGAAGUGGAGGUGGCUAAAUUUCAGAACUCCCAUGCUGCAUAUUCCUGUGGCAUUUUGGACCUGUGCAAUGACUGUUGCUUUUCCGUGCUGCAGAGUUUAUAAAUUGUGCUUGAGUGGUAUUUUGCACCAGUAGGGCUUAGGAAGACACUGAGAGCAGCCCUUCACCCUCACAAAAGUGACUCUGCCUUCCUAUCUCCAGGAGAUCGAAGGACAAGUUCCUCUUGUCUCUGCUGCUGUCCUGAACUUCAGAUCUCCUUCUUGCUGUUUCCCCUCUGUCCUUUUAGGGGCAGCAGCAUAGGAACAGGCUCAAGAAACCCCCAUGGAACUUUCCCUGUUGGAGGAAAACACAGAAAAAGGAGGAGGAAGGCAAAAUUGUUGGUGGCUAAUAGCUCCUUAAAUCAAGACACUACGACUUGAUACUGAGAUACAUAAAUCUAGGCUUUAUUGAUCGGGUUGCACUAUAUGAGUAGCCACCCAGCAUUCCUGAAGCCCUAUCCCAGUAUUCACUGGGACGGAUUACCUGGUGACGGUCUCCUUUUAAUUGGUUCCAAAAUGCUGAUGAGGAAUGUGAAGGGAUCCUGUUAGGGACUCAGAAUAUUUGGGUUCUAUUCACAACUGUGCCACAGACUUCUUGUUGUAACCUUGGUCAAGUCUCUUAAAUUCUCUACCUCGGUUUCUCAAUUGUAAAUUGAUGAUGAUAAUACUUUCCCACUCUUGCCCAUGUUCUAAUUCCAGAACAAUGGGUCAUAAAUGGAAGAAUCAGUUUAGGGAACCUUCAGGUAGCUUUGUGUUAUUCACAGGGAUGAAUUGCCAAAGGCAGAAAGAAAGACAAGACAUGCAAAUUAGUUUGAGGGAGAUGCACAAAUGUUUGUCUAACUUGCUCUUAAAAAUCUCCAAUGACUGAGAUUCCACAACCUCCCUAGGCAAUAUAUUCAAUCCUGACAGUUAGAAAGUUUUCCCUAACGUCCAUC